rnacentral:rRNA from 1 species
UCAAGCUACAAAGGGCGCAUGGUGAAUGCCUUGGUAUCAGGAGCCGAUGAAGGACGUGAUAAGCUGCGAUAAGCUUCGGGUAGGCGCACAUAGCCUGAGAUCCGAAGAUCUCCGAAUGAGGAAACUCACAUGGGAAACCCCAUGUAUCAUUAAGUGAAUACAUAGCUUAAUGAAGGUAACCCAGGGAACUGAAACAUCUAAGUACCUGGAGGAAGAGAAAGAAAAAUCGAUUUUCUUAGUAGCGGCGAGCGAAAGGGAAAAAGCCCAAACCGGAAACUUGUUUCCGGGGUUGUGGACAGAACAUAACGAUUGGUAGGACGUAAUCGAAGAGAACUGGAAAGUUCCACCGUAGAAGGUAAUAGUCCUGUAGAUGAAACGGGAAAUCAAUCAGUUCUGAUCCAGAGUACCACGAGACACGUGAAACCUUGUGGGAAGCAGGGAGGACCACCUCCCAAGGCUAAAUACUACCUGAUGACCGAUAGUGAAGCAGUACCGUGAGGGAAAGGUGAAAAGAACCCCGGGAGGGGAGUGAAAUAGAACCUGAAACCGUGUGCCUACAACCGCUCAGAGCCCCUUAUGAGGGUGAUGAGGUGCUUUUUGUAGAACGAGCCAACGAGUUACGGUAUGUAGCAAGGUUAAGUACUUAAGGUACGGAGCCGAAGGGAAACCGAGUCUGAAUAGGGCGACUAGUUGCAUGCCGUAGACCCGAAACCGGGUGACCUAUCCAUGGCCAGGUUGAAGCGAGGGUAAAACCUCGUGGAGGACCGAACCACGUUGCUGUUGAAAAAGCAUGGGAUGAGCUGUGGAUAGCGGAGAAAUUCCAAUCGAACCCGGAGAUAGCUGGUUCUCUCCGAAAUAGCUUUAGGGCUAGCGUCGAGUAUGAGUAGUGGAGGUAGAGCACUGAAUGGGCUAGGGGGCAUAGCGCUUACCGAACCUUAUCAAACUCCGAAUGCCACAUACUUUGAGCUCGGCAGUCAGACUACGAAUGAUAAGAUCCGUGGUCAAAAGGGAAACAGCCCAGAUCGUCAGCUAAGGUCCCAAAGUGUAAGUUAAGUGGGAAAGGAUGUGAGAUUUCUAAGACAACUAGGAUGUUGGCUUAGAAGCAGCCAUUCAUUAAAAGAGUGCGUAAUAGCUCACUAGUCGAGAGAUCUUGCGCCGAAAAUGUAACGGGGCUAAACUUACCACCGAAGCUACGGGCUUGAACUUAGUUCAAGCGGUAGGAGAGCGUCGUAACCGGGCUGAAGUCGUACCGUAAGGAGCGGUGGACUGGUUACGAGUGAGAAUGUUGGCAUCAGUAGCGAGAUGUGGGUGAGAAUCCCACAGGCCGAAAACCUAAGGUUUCCUCAGGAAGGUUCGUCCGCUGAGGGUUAGUCGGGACCUAAGCCGAGGCCGAAAGGCGUAGGUGAUGGACAACUGGUUGAUAUUCCAGUACCACUACCAUCGUUAUUAUCGAUGGCGUGACGCAGGAGGAUAGUGUGUGCUAGCUAUUGGAUGCUAGUCUAAGCGUUUAGGCAGUGAGAGUAGGCAAAUCCGCUCUCAUAAUGCUGAGGCGUGAUGGGGAAGGUUCUACGGAACCGAAGUACAUGAUUCCACGCUGCCAAGAAAAGCGUCUAGAGAGAGAAGUAGUGCCCGUACCGCAAACCGACACAGGUAGGUGAGGAGAGAAUCCUAAGGCCGGCGGAAGAAUUACAGUUAAGGAACUCGGCAAAUUGACCCCGUAAGUUCGCGAGAAGGGGUGCCUACGAGAGUAGGCCGCAGAGAAUAGGCCCAAGCAACUGUUUAGCAAAAACACAGGUCUCUGCUAAAGCGUAAGCUGAUGUAUAGGGGCUGACGCCUGCCCGGUGCUGGAAGGUUAAGGGGAACACUUAGCGUAAGCGAAGGUGUGAACUUAAGCCCCAGUAAACGGCGGCCGUAACUAUAACGGUCCUAAGGUAGCGAAAUUCCUUGUCAGGUAAGUUCUGACCCGCACGAAUGGCGUAAUGACUUGGGCACUGUCUCAACUGUAAAUCCGGCGAAGUUGUAGUGCGAGUGAAGAUGCUCGCUACCCGCGAUUGGACGGAAAGACCCCGUAGAGCUUUACUGUAGCUUAGCAUUGAGUUUUGGUAUUGUCUGUACAGGAUAGGUGGGAGACUAGGAAACCAGGGCGUCAGCCUUGGUGGAGUCAACCUUGGGAUACCACCCUGACAGUACUGAAAUUCUAACUGGCGGCCAUGAAUCUGGUCACAGGACAUUGUUAGGUGGGCAGUUUGACUGGGGCGGUCGCCUCCUAAAAAGUAACGGAGGCGCCCAAAGGUUCCCUCAGAACGGUCGGAAAUCGUUCGAAGAGUGCAAAGGCAGAAGGGAGCCUGACUGCGACACCCACAAGUGGAGCAGGGACGAAAGUCGGGCUUAGUGAUCCGGUGGUACCUCGUGGGAGGGCCAUCGCUCAACGGAUAAAAGCUACCUCGGGGAUAACAGGCUGAUCUCCCCCAAGAGUCCACAUCGACGGGGAGGUUUGGCACCUCGAUGUCGGCUCGUCGCAUCCUGGGGCUGAAGUAGGUCCCAAGGGUUGGGCUGUUCGCCCAUUAAAGCGGCACGCGAGCUGGGUUCAGAACGUCGUGAGACAGUUCGGUCCCUAUCCGUCGCGGGCGUAGGAAAUUUGAGAGGAGCUGUCCUUAGUACGAGAGGACCGGGAUGGACUGACCUCUGGUGUACCAGUUGUUCCGCCAGGAGCACAGCUGGGUAGCUAAGUCGGGAAUGGAUAAACGCUGAAAGCAUCUAAGCGUGAAGCCAACCUCAAGAUUAGAUUUCCCAUAGCAUAAGCUAGUAAGAUCCCUUGAAGAACACAAGGUUGAUAGGUCGGGGGUGUAAGCAUGGUAACAUGUUCAGCUGACCGAUACUAAUAGAUCGAGGGCUUGACCAA